rnacentral:rRNA from 1 species
AGUGAACGCUGGCGGUAGGCCUAACACAUGCAAGUCGAACGGCAGCACAGGAGAGCUUGCUCUCUGGGUGGCGAGUGGCGGACGGGUGAGGAAUACAUCGGAAUCUACUCUGUCGUGGGGGAUAACGUAGGGAAACUUACGCUAAUACCGCAUACGACCUACGGGUGAAAGCAGGGGACCUUCGGGCCUUGCGCGAUUGAAUGAGCCGAUGUCGGAUUAGCUAGUUGGCGGGGUAAAGGCCCACCAAGGCGACGUUCCGUGGCUGGUCAGCGAGUGUGAUCAGCCACGAUGGAACUGAGACAGGGUCCAGACGCCUAGGGGAGGCAGCAGUGGGAAAUAUUGGAAAAUGGGCGCAAGCCUGAUCCAGCCAUACCGCGUGGGUGAAGAAGGCCUUCGGUUUGUAAACCCCUUUUGUUGGGAAAGAAAUCCAGCUGGCUAAUACCCGGUUGGGAUGACGGUACCCAAAGAAUAAGCACCGGCUAACUUCGUGCCAGCCGCCGCCGUAA